rnacentral:rRNA from 1 species
AGUGAACGCUGGCGGCAGGCCUAACACAUGCAAGUCGAGCGGAAGAAGGGAGCUUGCUCCUGGAUUCAGGGGCGGACGGGUGGGUGAGGCCUGGGAAUCUGCCUGGUAGUUGUUUAGAAGGGGCGAAAACAGGCGCUAAUACCGCAUACGUGCUGAGGGAGUAAGGGGGGGAGCUUCGGACCUCACGCUAUCAGGUGAGCCUAGGUGGGAUUGGCGAGUUGGUGGGGUAAAGGGCUACCAAGGCGACCAUCCGUAACUGGGCUGAGAGGAUGAUCAGUCACCAUGGAACUGAGACACGGUCCAGAAUCCCACGGGAGGCAGCCGUGGGGAAUAUUUGACCAUGGGCGACAGCCUUAUCCCGCCAUGCCGCGUGUGUGAAGAAGGUCUUCGGAUUGUAAAGCACUUUAUGUUGGGAGGAAAGGCAGUAAGUUAAUAACUUGCUGUUUCGAAGUUAACAACAGAAAAAGCCACGGCCAACCUCGUGC